GUCUAUGGCCAUACCACCCUGAAUGUGCCUGAUCUCAUCUGAUCACAGAAGCUAAGCAGGAUUGGGCCUGUUUUGUACUUGGCUGGGGGAACUCUUCUUUUUUAAAUU
rnacentral:rRNA from 1 species